rnacentral:sRNA from 21 species
GUCAACGACCCGUCGCUAAAAGCGAGGGCUCCUUAUAGCCCAAGUUGACCAGCCUAAGUGCUACGCGCACUACGUUAACGGCAAGUGUUAAAAAUCCUACCUUGGGAUGCGUGCCAGUUCCAAGCUCUAGA